rnacentral:rRNA from 1 species
CCUACGGGCGGCAGCAGUGGGGAAUCUUGCGCAAUGGGCGAAAGCCUGACGCAGCAACGCCGCGUGCGGGAUGAAGGCCUUCGGGUUGUAAACCGCUUUCAGUAGGGACGAAAUUGACGGUACCUACAGAAGAAGCCCCGGCCAACUACGUGCCAGCAGCCGCGGUAACACGUAGGGGGCAAGCGUUGUCCGGAUUUAUUGGGCGUAAAGAGCUCGUAGGCGGCUCGGUAAGUCGGGUGUGAAAACUCUGGGCUCAACCCAGAGACGCCACCCGAUACUGCUGUGGCUUGAGUCCGGUAGGGGAGCGUGGAAUUCCUGGUGUAGCGGUGAAAUGCGCAGAUAUCAGGAGGAACACCAGCGGCGAAGGCGGCGCUCUGGGCCGUAACUGACGCUGAGGAGCGAAAGCGUGGGUAGCAAACAGGAUUAGAUACCCCGGUAGUC